CGUGCCUGUACACCGAACGCUCUGCAUGCCGCAUACGCGUCGCUCGCGCGAGCUGCUAUGGCUCCCCAGAGGCCGGUUCUUGUGCUGCCUACCCCUUCAGGCGAAGAGUUCCAGACUUGAUGUAAGCCUCCAUCCGGUGCCCUCCAAAGGGCGCGGGAGGACAGAGGAGCACCCCCCGCGUUCCACCGAGCCUCCUCGGUCGCGUGGCCCGUGGGGACGUGCGAUGUUCUCGGACCCAGCGAACGCCGUGGGCGAGGAACUCACGUCCCGUCCCCAAGAGAAGCUCCGAAAGAAUGCUGACUGCACUCCCGCGGCCGGCGCCCCGCGGCGCGGGGCGAGGCGCGCGUCGCGGAGGAUGCUACCU
rnacentral:misc_RNA from 1 species